AGCUGCGAGCAAUUCCCGAAAGGGACUGCGCGAGGAAAGUCCGGGCUUCGCAGAGCAAAAAUAACGGCUAACGGCCGCCGGAGGCGACUCCAGGGAUAGUGCAACAGAAAAUUACCGCCGAAUUUCGGUAAGGAUGGAAAGGUGAGGUAAGAGCUCACCGGAGGCAGGGAGACCUGCCUGCCGUGUAAACCCUAUUUGAAGCAACACCGUGGUAGGACAAUACGCUUGCUCGGCGUGUCCUUAGGAGGUGGCAUUGAGCAGUUUCGGCAACGGACUGCCAAGAUAGAUGGCUGUUCACGACAGAACCCGGCUUACAGAUGUA
rnacentral:RNase_P_RNA from 1 species